GACUAUUUUAGCGUUUUUGUUGUGGUAGUUUGGUUUCGUUUGGUUUGGUUUGGUUUUUGUUUUGCUUUGUUUUGUUUUUUGUUUUUACAAUCAAUACAUUUUGUAGGACCGUUGACACACAGAACCCCUAAUUUGGAAUAAUAGCUUUCUCAAAUACUUUGUUCAGGAGAAGUUGACAGGCUAUGUGUCCAGUAAAUAGUUAAGAUGAUUUAAAAACAUCAAAUAAUAUUUAUUAGAUAUGGCGCUGGCCAGCGUUUUGGAGCAGUCAGUGCCGGUGAACCAGCAUGGUUUUUUUGGACUCAGAAGUCAGAAAGAUCCGCUGGAACUGGGUCUGGGGAGUCCUGGUGAUGGGCUGAACCUUGCUGCACCAAACUAGGGUGUUCUAGAAGAGCCAAAAAUCGAAAUGUUUCAUGGAACCACCACGCUGGCCUUCAAGUUGUGCCAUGGAGUCGUUGCACCUGAUUCCUGGGCCACAGCAGGUGCUUAUACUGCCUCCCAGACAGUGAAGAAAGUAAUAGAGAUCCACCCUUACCUUCUGGGCACCAUGGCUGGGGGUGCAACGGAUUGUAACUUCUGGGAGCAGUUGUUGGCUCAGCAAUGUAGAAUCUUUGAGUUUCGAAAUAAGGAAUGCAUCUCUAUGGCAGCGGCCUCCAAACUUCGUGCUAACAUGGUAUAACAGCACAAAGGCAUGGGACUGUCCACCGGCACCCUGAUCUGUGGCUGGGAUAAGUGAGGCCCUUGCCUCUACUGUGUAGACCGUGAAGGGAACAGCGUUUAGGGAACUGUCUUUUCUGUGGCUUCUGGCUCUAUGAAUGUUUAUGGGGUCAUGAAUUGAGGCUACUUCUAUAACCUAGAAAUGGAGCAGGCAUAUAAUCUGGCCCUCUGAAUCAUCUACCAAACCAUCUACAGAAAUGCCUACUCCCGAGAUGCACUCAACCUCUACCACAUGCGGGAGGAUGACUGGAUCCAUGUCUCUAGAGACUAUGUAGCUGAUUUACACAGGUAUAGUGCACCUGUCCCUGAAGGAAAGUGGAUAUGGCUGUUUGCACCUGUUUGGGUAGCUCUCAUUGGUUAUAAUACAUAA